UACGAAGGGGGCUAGCGUUGUUCGAAAUUACUGGGCGUAAAGCGCACGUAGGCGGAUACUUAAGUCAGGGGUGAAAUCCCGAGGCUCAACCUCGGAACUGCCUUUGAUACUGGGUAUCUCGAGUCCGGAAGAGGUGAGUGGAAUUCCGAGUGUAGAGGUGAAAUUCGUAGAUAUUCGGAGGAACACCAGUGGCGAAGGCGGCUCACUGGUCCGGUACUGACGCUGAGGUGCGAAAGCGUGGGGAGCAAACAGG
rnacentral:rRNA from 1 species